CACAUGUAAGUUUCCAGGCCAGGGCUCAAAUUGGAGCUGCAGCUGCAGCCUAUGCCACGCUUGUGGUAACACCCAGAUCCCUAACCCACUGAGCAAGGCCAGGGACUGGAUCCACAUCCUCAAGGAGACUAUGUCAGGUUCUUAACCCACUGAGCUAUGGAGGGAACUCCUCAAAGCACAUAUUUCUAUGCACUUUAUGUUCUAAUGGAUUCUAUGCUCCUUGAGGACAAAGACUAGACCUUUGUACACAAACAGUGCUGAGGGACAGAGUAACUUUCAGUUUUAAUCUGUUGAGUAUCUACGAUAUAUUUAGCAGGCUCCUCACUGUGGGAGUACAGAAGAGAUUUUUAAAGAUCCUUUUCCUCAAGGAAUAUGCAAUCUAAUUGAGGAGAAAAAAAAACUAGAUAUAUGAAAAAGCUUCAACAGAACUUCUUCAAAUGGCCAAAAUGAUAAGAUGUUCAAAAACAUGAGGGGAGGGGAUUUCUCCUUGUGGUUCAGCAGGUUGAGAAUCCACAUAGUAUCCAUGAGGAUGCAGGUUUGAUCCCUGGCCUCACUCAGUGGGUUAAGGAUCCAGUGUUGCCAUGAGCUGUGGUGUAGGUCACAGAUGAGGCUCAGAUCUGGUAUUGCUGUGGCUGUGGUGUAGGCCAGCAGCUGUGGCUCUGAUUUGCCCCCCGGCUUGGGAACUUCCACAUCCAGUGGGUGUGGCCCUAAAAAGACCAAAAACGAACCAAAAAAAAAAAAAAAAAAUCAUCCCAAAAUAUUCUGGCCAGUCACCCCCGUCCCCCGGCCUCCCUCCCCUACCAAAUCAAUGGCAUUUGGUCUUCUUUGCUAAAGAUCUAAAUUAAAGUUAAAUAUAAUAAGAAAACAUACCCUAUUCGGUGAUGUGUGAAAAUCAGAAUAAAGUUUGAAAUAAACCACACAUGAUAUUACCAAGCUCAUAGUUGGGUGUGAAAUUCAGCUGCAUGAGAGCAGUUAUAUAACAAAGAAGCAAACUGCAGGGAAAUCAAACUUGGAUCCCUUGAGUUACUGCAGAUGGAGGCCUGUGAGCAGGAAAACACAUGGAUCCCAAGCCUACAGAGGCCGCUAAGCCGCGGGCCGGGGAAGAUUAAAUGAAAUCCACCAAGAAUGAUUUCUUGGCAGAACCAUAGGCAGAAGAAACAGAAAAUUGAGUCAGAAAUGGAAAAGCCCCAAGUGACCUAAACUCUUCUCCCAUGGACCUAUAAUGCCCAGGGCAUGACAGUUAAAAGAGGCAUAAAAAAUGCCUGGAAGAAAUCAAGUAAUAGUAAUAGGCAGUUUAUUAGGACGAAUUGUGCAUGUGGCAAUAUUUUUUCCUCUUCAAGUCAAGUGGGGAGUUUGCAACCCAAACAGUUCUGGUGAUUAUAACAAUAUAUUUUGGGUAUCUCCCCUUCAGAAUAUUUCCUUCCAGAAGAAGGAUCCAGUCACAGAAAUCUGCCAAAAUAUGUAUGGGGACUGACAGGGCCAAAAGAUGCUGCUGGAUUAAAGCAGGUGAGUGUUCUGAGUUAGCGAGAGGACCAGAGGUGUGUUUACAAAGGAGAAGAGCAAGGGCUCAAAACCAUUCGUGGCAAAGGCAAGGAUAUGUAAAGAGAGGUUUCUAGUACAUUAAAAAACAUUAAAUCUAUUCCCAAAUUACAAGCCCUGAGCCCAUUUUCCACAGGUCGACAGGGUCAUACAACAGAUAAAGAAGGAAACACUUUUUUUUUUUUUUUUCGUCUUUUUGCCUUUUCUGGGGCCACUUCCGUGGCAUAUGGAGAUUCCCAGGCUAGGGGUCGAAUCGGAGCUGUUGCCACCAGCCUACACCAGAGCCACAGCAACAGGGGAUCCGAGCCGCGUCUGCAACCUACACCACAGCUCACGGCAACACUGGAUCCUUAACCCACUGAGCGAGGCCAGGGAUCAAACCUGCAACCUCAUGGUUCCUAGUUGGAUUCAUUAACCACUGCGCUACAAAGGGAACUCCAAGAAGGAAACACUUUGAUCCAUGUCUAACUUUAAGGAAAACUUUCCAGCUCUCUAAAAACCUGCAGGAGAACCUUG
rnacentral:lncRNA from 9 species